GUCAUGGCCAUGGACAAAUAGAUGCUAUAAGAAGAUUGAUCAAGAAAAAAGGCAAAACUGAAAUAGUAAAAAGGACAAGAGAGACCUAAUCUUACAGUCACAUGUUCACGUUAACACAACUAUUUGUGUCCAUACUUGAAAGGAGAGAUUGAAUUAAAAAAAUGAAACCAUAUACCGAUACUUGCUGCUGCAGCCGGCCGCACUUCUCCGGUGGCUGAACUUUCAUAAUUGCUUGAUUAUUUGUGGUGCUUCCUGUUAUUUCCAUCAGAUCAAAAACCCGACUAAAGAUAUCCUCCUGUCAACAUGAAUACUUGAUUAAGGUUUCAAAAAUAAUAACAAUUACUAAUUACAUACCUUUCUUGCACCUCUUAUAUCUAUUGCCUUAGAAUAACAGAACUGAUGAAGAUAUGAUGAAUUAGAAAAGAUAUAUAUCAAAUCAAUACCCCUGUUGGGGGGAAUGAAGCCUG
rnacentral:misc_RNA from 1 species